UAGACUUGACAGCCAUCCUCAAGUCACGGGC
rnacentral:piRNA from 1 species